AAGUCGUAACAAGGUUUCCGUAGGUGAACCUGCGGAAGGAUCAUUACUGAACGAAAUGGGUGGCAAGGCUGUCGCUGGCUCUAAUGAGCAUGUGCACGCCUCUUGCUGCUUGCUUCAUUCUCUUUUCCACCUGUGCACUCUUUGUAGACACUCGGGAUGGGGAGAGAAGGUUGGCAUCGAAUGUUGGCCUCUCUCUUGAUAUUAAAAAGUCUGGGUGUCUAUGUGUUUUUUCACAUACACAAUUUGAAUGUCUAUAGAAUGAAAUUGUAGGCUUUUGUCAGCCUUUUAAAUGAUAAAAUACAACUUUCAACAACGGAUCUCUUGGCUCUC
rnacentral:misc_RNA from 1 species